rnacentral:lncRNA from 1 species
CUCAGGCGAUGCCAAUCGUAGAGAGAUCGAAGAGGCCGAUCAAAUUCGCAUGCGCAAUAGAUGCCAUUCGUACCCUCUUGGGACUGCUGUAACAAACUUUAUUUAAUUUUUAUAUAUCUUCUGCACUUGAUGACUAUUUUUCGUGAUGCAAAUACUUUAAUGCUCGUACUGCAAUCGGCUUAAAUGCAAGCUGACUGACCUUCUGCCACUCUAUUUGACUCACCAAUGGCUGCCUUAUUCAAAGCAUCCCUUUUGACCGAUCGUUCCGUGCUUCCAACAUUCAAAUUUCUUCAAAAUUGCCUUAUAAAUACGAGCACCAACGCUCCCCUUGAAAGCAUUCACAAAAUCGCACAAACUCUGUCCCUCCAUAAGUUUCUCAAACCAGACCAUUUCAAACAACCAAGAUGGCUUCCUUUUCAUCAGUCAAUCAGGUAUUCAUUCUGCAACCUCAUUCUAAAUUGACUAUUCUGAAUCAAUUUCUAUUUGAAAUUCAUCCACCUUUGUUCUUCUUUCUCGCACAUGAACCCAGUGAACUGCCAACUUGAGGCAAUCAUCCAAAUCCUCCAAGCCAACAAGAAACUUUCCCAAAUGAACAAGGAUCUGAUAUAGGCCAACCUCAAUGAACUCAAAGAUUACAUCCCCC